AUUGAACGCUGGCGGCAUGCCUUACACAUGCAAGUCGAACGGCAGCACGGGUGCUUGCACCUGGUGGCGAGUGGCGAACGGGUGAGUAAUACAUCGGAACGUACCUUAUCGUGGGGGAUAACGCAGCGAAAGCUGUGCUAAUACCGCAUACGCCCUGAGGGGGAAAGCGGGGGAUCGCAAGACCUCGCGCGAUUAGAGCGGCCGAUGCCUGAUGAGCUUGUUGGUGGGGUAAAAGCCCACCAAGGCGACGAUCAGUAGCUGGUCUGAGAGGACGAUCAGCCACACGGGGACUGAGACACGGCCCAGACUCCUACGGGAGGCAGCAGUGGGGAAUUUUGGACAAUGGGGGCAACCCUGAUCCAGCAAUGCCGCGUGAGUGGAGAAGGCCUUCGGGUUGUAAAGCUCUUUUGUCAGGGAAGAAGCACCGGCUCUAACACAGUCCGGGAAUGACGGUACCUGAAGAAUAAGCACCGGCUAACUACGUGCCAGCAGCCGCCGUAA
rnacentral:rRNA from 1 species